CUGCCAGGGCGGCGGCUAUACAUGCAAGUCGAGCGGACAGAUGGGAGCUUGCUCCCUGAUGUUAGCGGCGGACGGGUGAGUAACACGUGGGUAACCUGCCUGUAAGACUGGGAUAACUCCGGGAAACCGGGGCUAAUACCGGAUGGUUGUUUGAACCGCAUGGUUCAAACAUAAAAGGUGGCUUCGGCUACCACUUACAGAUGGACCCGCGGCGCAUUAGCUAGUUGGUGAGGUAACGGCUCACCAAGGCAACGAUGCGUAGCCGACCUGAGAGGGUGAUCGGCCACACUGGGACUGAGACACGGCCCAGACUCCUACGGGAGGCAGCAGUAGGGAAUCUUCCGCAAUGGACGAAAGUCUGACGGAGCAACGCCGCGUGAGUGAUGAAGGUUUUCGGAUCGUAAAGCUCUGUUGUUAGGGAAGAACAAGUACCGUUCGAAUAGGGCGGUACCUUGACGGUACCUAACCAGAAAGCCACGGCUAACUACGUGCCAGCAGCCGCGGUAAUACGUAGGUGGCAAGCGUUGUCCGGAAUUAUUGGGCGUAAAGGGCUCGCAGGCGGUUUCUUAAGUCUGAUGUGAAAGCCCCCGGCUCAACCGGGGAGGGUCAUUGGAAACUGGGGAACUUGAGUGCAGAAGAGGAGAGUGGAAUUCCACGUGUAGCGGUGAAAUGCGUAGAGAUGUGGAGGAACACCAGUGGCGAAGGCGACUCUCUGGUCUGUAACUGACGCUGAGGAGCGAAAGCGUGGGGAGCGAACAGGAUUAGAUACCCUGGUAGUCCACGCCGUAAACGAUGAGUGCUAAGUGUUAGGGGGUUUCCGCCCCUUAGUGCUGCAGCUAACGCAUUAAGCACUCCGCCUGGGGAGUACGGUCGCAAGACUGAAACUCAAAGGAAUUGACGGGGGCCCGCACAAGCGGUGGAGCAUGUGGUUUAAUUCGAAGCAACGCGAAGAACCUUACCAGGUCUUGACAUCCUCUGACAAUCCUAGAGAUAGGACGUCCCCUUCGGGGGCAGAGUGACAGGUGGUGCAUGGUUGUCGUCAGCUCCUGUCUUGAAAUGUUGGGUUAAGUCCCGCAACGAGCGCAACCCUUGAUCUUAGUUGCCAGCAUUCAGUUGGGCUUCUAAGGUGACUGCCGGUGACAAACCGGAAGAAGCUGGGGAUGACGUCCAAUCAUCAUGCCCCUUAUGACCUGGGGUACCACGUGGCUAAAUGGAAAGAACAAAGGGCACCGAACCCCCAGGUUAAGCCAUUCACAAAUCUGUUUCUAGUCGGAUCCGAUUCGCACUCCACUGGUGGGAACUGGAAUCCUUAUAAUACCGGAAUACAUUGCCCGGGGAAAAAUUUUCCCGGCCUUGUAAAACCCCUUUUCAACUCAAAGUUUGUAACCCCAAAUUUGGGAGGAACCUUUAGAACCGGCCCCAAGGGGGCCAAAUUUGGGUGAGUUUAAAGGGCCUAGGAAGGGGGGGGGGGGGGCCCCUUCCAUAAAAAAAAG
rnacentral:rRNA from 1 species